rnacentral:rRNA from 1 species
GUUUGAUCCUGGCUCAGGACGAACGCUGGCGGCGUGCCUAAUACAUGCAAGUCGAGCGGACAGAUGGGAGCUUGCUCCCUGAUGUUAGCGGCGGACGGGUGAGUAACACGUGGGUAACCUGCCUGUAAGACUGGGAUAACUCCGGGAAACCGGGGCUAAUACCGGAUAGUUGUUUGAACCGCAUGGUUCAAACAUAAAAGGUGGCUUCGGCUACCACUUACAGAUGGACCCGCGGCGCAUUAGCUAGUUGGUGAGGUAACGGCUCACCAAGGCAACGAUGCGUAGCCGACCUGAGAGGGUGAUCGGCCACACUGGGACUGAGACACGGCCCAGACUCCUACGGGAGGCAGCAGUAGGGAAUCUUCCGCAAUGGACGAAAGUCUGACGGAGCAACGCCGCGUGAGUGAUGAAGGUUUUCGGAUCGUAAAGCUCUGUUGUUAGGGAAGAACAAGUACCGUUCGAAUAGGGCGGUACCUUGACGGUACCUAACCAGAAAGCCACGGCUAACUACGUGCCAGCAGCCGCGGUAAUACGUAGGUGGCGAGCGUUGUCCGGAAUUAUUAGGCGUAAAGGGCUCGCAGGCGGUUUCUUAAGUCUGAUGUGAAAGCCCCCGGCUCAACCGGGGAGGGUCAUUGGAAACUGGGGAACUUGAGUGCAGAAGAGGAGAGUGGAAUUCCACGUGUAGCGGUGAAAUGCGUAGAGAUGUGGAGGAACACCAGUGGCGAAGGCGACUCUCUGGUCUGUAACUGACGCUGAGGAGCGAAAGCGUGGGGAGCGAACAGGAUUAGAUACCCUGGUAGUCCACGCCGUAAACGAUGAGUGCUAGAAGUGUUGAGGGGUUUCCCUUGUAGUGCUGCAGCCUUGCCAUUAAAGCACUCACGCCUGGGAGUACGGUCGCAAGACUGAAACUCAAAGGAAUUGACGGGGGCCCGCACAAGCGGUGGAGCAUGUGGUUUAAUUCGAAGCAACGCGAAGAACCUUACCAGGUCUUGACAUCCUCUGACAAUCCUAGAGAUAGGACGUCCCCUUCGGGGGCAGAGUGACAGGUGGUGCAUGGUUGUCGUCAGCUCGUGUCGUGAGAUGUUGGGUUAAGUCCCGCAACGAGCGCAACCCUGGAUCUUAGAUUUACUUAGCAUUCAGUUGGGCUCUAAGGUGACUGCCGGUGACAAACCGGAGGAAGGUGGGGAUGACGUCAAAUCAUCAUGCCCCUUAUGACCUGGGCUACACACGUGCUACAAUGGACAGAACAAAGGGCAGCGAAACCGCGAGGUCGUAAUCCACCGUCGUUUCACUCGGAUUCGGAUCGCAGUCUGCAACUCGACUGCGUGAAGCUGGAACCACUUUAAGUAAUCACUUGAAUCCAGCAUGCCGCGAGUGAAUACGUUCCAGGCCUUGUGCGCCGUCACUGCGAGGUUUGUGGCGCCAGAAGUCAGUGAGGUAACCUUACACAGGAGCCAGCCGCCGAAGAGUGGGACGAAUGAUUGGUGAAGUCAUGUGGC